ACAUUGGCUUCUUUGGAAGCUAUCACAUUUUUUCUUCAAGUUUAAAG
rfam:Lupinus angustifolius cultivar Tanjil chromosome LG15, whole genome shotgun sequence.